CACACACACACACACACACACACACACACAGUCACAGGAAAACAUGCAGACAAUAACCUUUCCAACAAUGAGUCAGAUGUGCUACUCAGGGCGUUAAGUCCUCAUUGGGAUUACGGUUAUAGGUGCAUUCUUUGUGGAUUUGUUUUUAAUUUUUUUUGUAUUCACAUGCACCUUUGUUGUUUUAAUGCUCGGAGAGAUUUUGUGGCGUUAACAGGAGCUGAUUCAGGUUGUAAAUACGGGAUCCACCUGUAUGAGCUUCCCACUGAACUCUCGAGGCCUCCAGCACGCACACAUCAACGUGCAACGUGCACUUGUGGAAUGAGACGCCGCGUGCAGAUAUUAGGGUUCCUGUGUGAUGGCGCCUGCAGGCGGGAUUAGGCCCUUCAUCCGCUGCUCCGCCUCCUCGGCCCCCUUCUCUUUCCUGAGGCGUAAAAGAUUCAGGGAGAAAAACCACACCGUGGCACAGGAGGGAAACUAAUCUGCAUGGUGGCGUCGAUGUAAGAGGAACGAAGUGGCUCAUAUCCCAAAACAUUCCGGAAUCAGGAACAUUUAUUGCCAAGAUAUGUUAGACAAACCAUGCCGUGAGAACAAAUCAUUGAGAUAUUGGUUCUUCAUCUGUGGCCUUCUUCUUUUUUUCACAUUUCUCACACACGUUCCUGGUGGGAUAAUUGUUUUUUUCGACACUCCGAUUCAAGAUGCGCCGCCGAAAUGUGUGUCUGUAUUUGCGUCUUAUGGUGAACCCGUGGUAAUAAUCCUGCAUCCUGUCGGGGGUCAAGGACUCCGCCGGCCUCUGCUCGGGCCCCUGCAACAGAGGGACGCUUGUGAAACACGAGGGGCCCGGCGGGGAAGAUCACAGCCACGGCCGCCGGCCUGGGAAUGCUGUCGCUCUGCAUCAGAGCCGCGUGAGAGAGAGAGAGAGAGAG
ensembl:lncRNA